UACGAAGGGUGCAAGCGCUAAUCGGAAUUACUGGGCGUAAAGCGUGCGUAGGCGGUUUGUUAAGUCUGUUGUGAAAUCCCCGGGCUCAACCUGGGAAUGGCAAUGGAUACUGGCAGGCUAGAGUGUGUCAGAGGAUGGUGGAAUUCCCGGUGUAGCGGUGAAAUGCGUAGAGAUCGGGAGGAACAUCAGUGGCGAAGGCGGCCAUCUGGGACAACACUGACGCUGAGGCACGAAAGCGUGGGGAGCAAACAGG
rnacentral:rRNA from 1 species